UGAAUCAGAUUUUCAAAAAAA
rnacentral:piRNA from 1 species